GACGAACGCUGGCGGCGUGCUUAACACAUGCAAGUCGAACGGUGAAGCGCCUUCCUUUUUGGUGGGUGUGGAUGAGUGGCGAACGGGUGAGUAACACGUGAGUAACCUGCCCCCUUCUUCUGGAUAACCGCAUGAAAGUGUGGCUAAUACGGGACAUUCUGGGUCUGUCGCAUGAUGGGUCUGGGAAAGAUAUUGUUUCGGUGGGGGAUGGGCUCGCGGCCUAUCAGCUUGUUGGUGGGGUGAUGGCCUACCAAGGCGGUGACGGGUAGCCGGCCUGAGAGGGUGGACGGUCACACUGGGACUGAGACACGGCCCAGACUCCUACGGGAGGCAGCAGUGGGGAAUAUUGCACAAUGGGCGCAAGCCUGAUGCAGCGACGCCGCGGGAGGGAUGGAGGCCUUCGGGUUGUGAACCUCUUUCGCCAGUGAAGCAGGCCUGCCUCGUUUGUGGGUGGGUUGACGGUAGCUGGAUAAGAAGCGCCGGCUAACUACGUG
rnacentral:rRNA from 1 species